UGGGGAAUAUUGGACAAUGGGCGAAAGCCUGAUCCAGCCAUGCCGCGUGUGUGAAGAAGGUCUUCGGAUUGUAAAGCACUUUAAGUUGGGAGGAAGGGCAGUAAGCGAAUACCUUGCUGUUUUGACGUUACCGACAGAAUAAGCACCGGCUAACUCUGUGCCAGCAGCCGCGGUAAUACAGAGGGUGCAAGCGUUAAUCGGAAUUACUGGGCGUAAAGCGCGCGUAGGUGGUUCGUUAAGUUGAAUGUGAAAGCCCCGGGCUCAACCUGGGAACUGCAUCUGAAACUGGCGAGCUAGAGUAGGGCAGAGGGUGGUGGAAUGUCGUGAGUAACAGUAAAAUGCGUGGAUAUAAGAAGGAAAACCAGUGGCGAAGGCGACCACCUGGGCUCAUACUGACACUGAGGUGCGAAAGAGUGGGGAGCAAACAGG
rnacentral:rRNA from 1 species